UUAUCGUUUUUUUAUUUCCCGGCUUAGUAUUAGAUAUAAAUAUACCUAUCGAAUCUUAGUAAUAAAGGACAGUGAAAGAAAUGA
rnacentral:tRNA from 1 species